UACGAAGGGGGCUAGCGUUGCUCGGAAUUACUGGGCGUAAAGCGCACGUAGGCGGCUUUCUAAGUCAGGGGUGAAAUCCUGGAGCUCAACUCCAGAACUGCCUUUGAUACUGGAGAGCUUGAGUCCGGGAGAGGUGAGUGGAACUCCGAGUGUAGAGGUGAAAUUCGUAGAUAUUCGCAAGAACACCAGUGGCGAAGGCGGCUCACUGGCCCGGUACUGACGCUGAGGUGCGAAAGCGUGGGGAGCAAACAGG
rnacentral:rRNA from 1 species